AUGGAAGAAAAUAGACUGCUAGGUUUCAGAGAACUCUCAGAGAACUCGCAAGUGCGCCAGAACUACCACCAGGACUCGGAGGCUGCCAUCAACCGCCAGAUCAACCUGGAGUUGUAUGCCUCCUACGUCUAUCUGUGUAUGUCUUGUUAUUUUGACUGGGAUGAUGUGGCUCUGAAGAACUUUGCCAAAUACUUUCUCCACCAAUCUCAUGAGGAGAGGGAACAUUCUGAGAAACUGAUGAAGCUGCAGAACGAGCGAGGUGGCCGCAUCUUCCGUCAGGAUACAAAGAAACCAGACCGUGAUGACUGGGAGAGCGGGUUGAAUACAAUGGAGUGUGCACUGGACUUGGAAAAGAGUGUGAAUCAGUCACUACUGGAACUGCACAAACUGGCUACUGACAAGAAUGAUUCCCACAUAUGUGACUUCAUUGAGACGCAUUACCUGAAUGAACAGGUGAAAUCCAUUAAAGAACUGGGUGACCAUGUGACCAACUUACGCAAAAUGGGAGUCCCUGAAUCUGGCAUGGCAGAAUAUCUCUUUGACAAGCACACCUGGGACACAGUGAUGAAAGCUAAGCUGACUUCCCCAAAGCCAUAUGACUUCACUGGUCACUGAGGCAGUGCAUGCAUGUCAGGCUGCCUUUAUCUUUUCUAUAAGUUGCACCAAAACAUCUGCUUAAGUUCUUUUAAUUUGUACCAUUUCUUCAAAUAAAGAAUUUUGGUAC